rfam:Scleropages formosus scaffold15089, whole genome shotgun sequence.
CCAAAGGCUCUUUUAAGAGCCACACACUUAAACAAAGAAAGAGUA